GGCCGGAUGGCCGAGUGGUUAAGGCGUCGGAUUUAAGCACGUGACUGCCCUACAGUCGCCCUGAAUCCCGAUGGACACAGUUCCGCGCGAGUUCGAUCCUCGCUUCGGCCA